GAGAAUGCCGGUGUGAGUAGCGAAAGACGGGUGAGAAUCCCGUCCACCGAUUGACUAAGGUUUCCAGAGGAAGGCUCGUCCGCUCUGGGUUAGUCGGGUCCUAAGCUGAGGCCGACAGGCGUAGGCGAUGGAUAACAGGUUGAUAUUCCUGUACCACCUAUAAUCGUUUUAAUCGAUGGGGGGACGCAGUAGGAUAGGCGAAGCGUGCGAUUGGAUUGCACGUCUAAGCAGUAAGGCUGAGUAUUAGGCAAAUCCGGUACUCGUUAAGGCUGAGCUGUGAUGGGGAGAAGACAUUGUGUCUUCGAGUCGUUGAUUUCACACUGCCGAGAAAAGCCUCUAGAUAGAAAAUAGGUGCCCGUACCGCAAACCGACACAGGUAGUCAAGAUGAGAAUUCUAAGGUGAGCGAGCGAACUCUCGUUAAGGAACUCGGCAAAAUGACCCCGUAACUUCGGGAGAAGGGGUGCUCUUUAGGGUUAACGCCCAGAAGAGCCGCAGUGAAUAGGCCCAAGCGACUGUUUAUCAAAAACACAGGUCUCUGCUAAACCGUAAGGUGAUGUAUAGGGGCUGACGCCUGCCCGGUGCUGGAAGGUUAAGAGGAGUGGUUAGCUUCUGCGAAGCUACGAAUCGAAGCCCCAGUAAACGGCGGCCGUAACUAUAACGGUCCUAAGGUAGCGAAAUUCCUUGUCGGGUAAGUUCCGACCCGCACGAAAGGCGUAACGAUUUGGGCACUGUCUCAACGAGAGACUCGGUGAAAUCAUAGUACCUGUGAAGAUGCAGGUUACCCGCGACAGGACGGAAAGACCCCGUGGAGCUUUACUGUAGCCUGAUAUUGAAAUUCGGCACAGCUUGUACAGGAUAGGUAGGAGCCUUUGAAACGUGAGCGCUAGCUUACGUGGAGGC
rnacentral:rRNA from 1 species